CGCCGAUCGAGAACCCGGGCCCCGUCUCGGAGCGGUUUCUCGAGCCGUUCGAUGCCGGCGACCCGGACGUGACCGGUCCCAUGCCGGGAUCGCUGC
rnacentral:tRNA from 1 species